rnacentral:rRNA from 1 species
UACGUAGGGUGCGAGCGUUGUCCGGAAUUAUUGGGCGUAAAGAGCUUGUAGGCGGUCUGUCGCGUCUGCUGUGAAAAUCCGGGGCUCAACCCCGGACUUGCAGUGGGUACGGGCAGACUAGAGUGUGGUAGGGGAGACUGGAAUUCCUGGUGUAGCGGUGAAAUGCGCAGAUAUCAGGAGGAACACCGAUGGCGAAGGCAGGUCUCUGGGCCACUACUGACGCUGAUGCGCGAAAGCUAGGGUAGCAAACAGG